UACGAAGGGGGCUAGCGUUGUUCGGAAUUACUGGGCGUAAAGCGCGCGUAGGCUGUGCGACAAGUCAGAGGUGAAAUCCCGGAGCUUAACUUCGGAACUGCCUUUGAAACUGUCGCACUGGAAUCUCAGAGGGGAUAGCGGAAUUCCAAAUGUAGGGUGAAAUCCGUAGAUAUUUGGAGGAACACCGGUGGCGAAGGCGGCUAUCUGGAUGAGUAUUGACGCUGAGGCGCGAAAGCGUGGGGAUCAAACAGG
rnacentral:rRNA from 1 species